GUGCCGAUGCUGGAACGGGCAUACAGGCGGCGUUGAGAACGCCGUGCGCAAGCGUCCGGGUUCGAAUCCCGGUCGGCACACCA
rnacentral:tRNA from 1 species